rnacentral:lncRNA from 1 species
AUCUUGGCCUUUUUUUUUUUUUCUUCUUUUCUUUCUGAUGGCUAGAAAUGGCAGACCAAGCCAGGCAGAAAUAUACAGAGAGGUAUUUCUCCUUUUCUGGUGCCUCCAGGAAGGACUCAGUGAAGGCCCUGCGGCUGUCAAGGUCUUUGAACCUCAAAAGAGCUACUUCAAGAGUCAGCAAAAGGCAGGUUGGUACAGAGCUUUCUGUCUCCUUUAAAACUUCCUUGAGAACUGAAAAACCUUCUUCUUCUCUGUGAUUAUUUCUUAAUAUUCUUUGGGAAAAAGCUUCCUAAUUGAUUUGAACACCUCCCUUCAAAGUCUUCCUGAUGUUUGCUGUGCUCCUGUGUGUCUGUGUGUUUGUGUGUGGAUGUGUGCUAUUUGUGUGUCUAGUUAUUUCUUACACAAGUGUCAAGGUUGUAUCUCACAAGUAACCAUGUUGCCAGAAGAUUCCAGAAUCUCGUGUGUGAUCCACUUCAGUGGUUACAUUUAUGUUACCAAAACAUUCUCUAAAAGGAUUAGGUAACUUUUACAUGCAAUACAACAUUGGAAUAAAGUCUGUCAGUGCCCUCACUUUCAUAGAAAGUAGUUUCACAGAAGCACAGUAUCAUAGCGUUACAGUUUACUCUUUCUGCUUUCAAAGUGCUGAUUGAAAAUGAUAGGAAGUAGGUGUGGCUAUGCUUUCUUGACAGUUUAUUUUACUAUUUGUAUGCUGAAUAUAUGGAUUUAGGCUUUAGUAUGGGCUUGCUCUGCAUCUGGUGGUGAAGUUUCUCUGGCACAAGACCCUGAUUCCUUGCUGGGUGGUGCCUUCUGUUUUGGGGAUCAGAGCCUCAGUAUCCGCCAAGCCAGUGCUGCGUGUGUGUUCUUAUACCGUAUUACUUUUAUGAACAAGUGGGACUUGUGGCUAAAUUCUACCCGGCCUAACUGCAGAAAUGAAAAAAUACUUAGAGACAUCCAUAUUUAUUUUAAAUUUAACCAAAGUAGUGACUGACCCAGCCAUCAGUUUUGACUCACCCGGUGCUUACCUCUGACAGAAUAGCUUCUGAUAUCGUCUUCAUCUUUCAGAGGUUGUAGGCUCAGCAAUCAUGAAGCCCCCAUAAAGAUCACUUUGCGGCUCAACACUUUGUAGUCUUUGAUUUGCCAGGUGCUCCCCGAUUAGGGGAUGCUAGGUGGAGCCUGAUGGCAGGAUGGGACUGAGCCUUGACUUUUCUGCUCUGAUGGCUACUGGCCAGCAUCAUCUAGCAAUGGAAGUACCCUUUCCAAUUCUUAUCCAUUUUCUUUUUAUGUUUCCUGGCAGCUUCCCUUAGCCUUUGGAGAAUCAACACCACUAUUGGAGGAUCGGACACUAUUCUGUUUCUCUCCUAGCCUCUCCCUCCAAGUCCUUUUGCUAAGCAAGCCAUAUGUAGACUGACCUGUAUCCCAUCUAUCCCAUCCUUGGGGGCUGAGUCCCACCUGCCAGGACCCUCUUCCGUCUGACUUUGGAUUUGGAUAGCUCAGCUUCCAUCCUUUGACUCGCCUUUUACUCCAGGAUGGCCCAUCCAUAGUCCACUCACCUUAGGCUUCUUGUGUGGGGAAUUACAUUUUCUCUGGUGGGUCUUUACUGUACUAGUGUAUAUUUAGGUGAUAUUCAGCAUUGAGCAAAUUAGACCAGAAGGUGACUUUGAGAAACAUUCUCUGAGUCAUAUUGUCAUAUGACUCAUCCUCUGGGCUUUAAUGGACACCUGCAUGUGUUUUCAUGUCUUUUGUACCAAAGGAUAUAAAAAUUUAAAAAGUCUUCUCAAAAAAGUGGAUUUGGGUAGGAUUUUUUUUUGUUGUUGUUUUGAUCUCCAGGAAAGUUAAAUGAAGGUGAAAAAAAAAUGAGUAGCAGUGAUGUGCUAAUUAGCAAAAUCUCGUGGUUUGGGAGCAGCUAGUAUAAAAAGUUAUCAGUUAAUUUAAGGACAGAAAGUUUGUUUUUUAUUUCGACAAAGAAUCUUUUAUCACCAAAUGAAUAUCAGACUCCCACAAGCAUCUUUGAGUUCCCACUUCUCUUUUUUUGUUGUUGUUUUUCACCUUGAAACUUAGGAAAGUAUGAAACGCGUUUUUGAAAAUGUUUAUUUUUAUUUUUAUUACUUUUUAAUGUUGCAUUUAUUUGUGUUCCUGCCAAGGCUCUGCGAGAUCUGGGCACUGUGAGUCAAAGCAUGCACCCGGACAUGAUUCCAUGUGGAGUCAUGGAAUAUAGUCACCCUAAUAUAGGAAAGGGGACAGCUUGCCCUUCCCACACUCCAGGUGCAGUUUCGAAUGUUUUGUAAAGCUCACAGCGUGUCCCCCUUGAGCUGAUACGCGUGCUUUUGCUUGGCGUUUGUGGAAGCUUGAUUCAGCAUCUGUCCCCUGGCCCGCGCUUGCUAACAAGGCAUCUUCAAGGUUCCUGUCCUGUGGCCCUGACUUGAUUAUAACCGAGUCCUCUUAGCUCACAGCAUGCACAUAAUUAAUGAAAAGGACAGCGAGUUCUGCAGGCACAUGUAGGUCCCUAUUACCAGAUGUUUAAUUAUUGUUGUCAGGGAGUAUUUGAAGUACCUGGCUAGCUCUGGAAGCAGAGCUAGAAGAGAAAGCCAACCCUGUUGGGUCUUGACAGAUUGGUCCUUUUGUAUGCAAGGAUUUAAGAGUCAGUGGACAGAGCUAGAGUCUUCCUUGCACCAAAUUUGUGGAAAGAGAAGAUAUAACACUUCAACCGCCACCCUUUGAAGCCCAUGGUUGCUUCCAUUACAUUUGUCCUGUGUCAUUGAGCCACCAUUUAAUUAGUAUGAAACCUUGAACAUUGAUAAUUAGAUCUUCAGUAACAACAUUUACAUUCUCUGCAGACAGUGUAUCUAUCAUGUAUUAUCAUGUGAUACUUCCUGGAAUUUAGGCUAGUCAUCUCAAGAAAAUACUGAAUGGAUUGUGUUGCAGAUGGAGGUAUACUUUACCAUAAAGGUAUAAAUUAGAUAUUAAGUAGGAAAGCAUCCAAGAGCCCCAUAUAGAGAGCAGGAAAUGUGUUUUAUAUUCAGUCUGUUAACAUUGGGUUUCUUUAUGACUCAUUAGAAGUCUAAAAUUAUCCUUGGCUACAUAUCAACUGCAAGGCUAGCCUGGGUUACAUGGGGACAGAGGACUUUGUUAUGAUCAACUCAGGGCCACUGGAGGGGUCCUCACAGCUAUCUGUCAAUACCUUGUUAGCAAGCUCAGACCAGGAACAGAUAUGCAUCAAACAUACAAAAACCAAACACAAUGUUUUGUAACAUACAAAUUAGAGACUGAAAAAAAAUUACAUUUUGCCUGCAUGAGAGGUCUGUUUCUAGGCUGUCCCUCUCAAAUAUUUGAUUGAUUUACCAUCAGAGAUUAUAAAUAGGGAACCCAUGUAUAAUGAGCACAGGGCAUCUCUCUGGUUGUAAAGCCACACCUCUCCUGGACCUUAAUUUUCUUCGUCUUGGUCGUUUUCGCUUUGUUUUAAAAACAGGAUUGCACUAUGAAGCUUAGACUGUCUCGGUACAGGUGGCAGUCCUCCUGCUUCACGGUCCCAGGGCUGCAAUUAGAGGUGUGGGCCAUGAUGCCUGCCUGGUUCACCCUGUCUGAGGCUUGUGGUUGCUUCAGUUCUUAGAAACCAAACUUCUUCUUAGAUUAUAGAUGGCCAUACUGCCCCCUAGUGUUUUCUCUGUGCCCUACUCAUAAGGAUUUGGAUUACAGAGCACAUAUAUCUACUGAGAUUUUGUUCCUGCCCUUGCAUGAAAAUGCAGCAUCCUUAGAGCACAGUGCAGACAGGGAGAGUGUCUUUGUUUCUAGGGCUGCCGUUCCCUAUGCACCCUCAAAAUGGGUUCUGAUUUUUUUUUUUUUUUUUUUUAGACCAGCACUCCUGUUCUGUCCAUAUUCCACUUUCUCUGUUUCUGUCCCAUGUCAGGUCCCACGUUCUGUUUGCCUGGGAGAAACACAAGCUAGGAUACUACCAGUUUGCAUUUUAUAAAUAAAACAUACAAAGAGAUCAAUGGGAACUUAAAAGAUACAAAGAUACAUAAAAACAUAUACUUUGAAAGAGCCAGGCAGGCAGCCCUAAAAGAUACAUUGUAAUACUGUAUUUAUGUUAAGACUCCAUUUUUUUUAAAAAAUAAGAAUGGUGGUUGUAUACAUGGAGCUAAGUUAUUUUUCCUCUGAAUGGACCCAUUUUUAAAUUGUCGCCAUAAAAUGGUUAAGGUUGAAUGAAUAUUUUAAAGCACAUGAAACCUGGUCAUAAGGGAAGUGAGUUUUUUUUUUUAUUAAAAGUGUUUUUUAAAAAAAUAUAUAACAUGCUUGAGUAGUCAAUACAGCCAACCCUGUAAUGUAUAAAUUUUGCAUCUGUGAAUUCAACCCCAAGUCAGAAAUAUUCUGGAAAAGU